rnacentral:rRNA from 1 species
GACGUAUUAACUUGCGAUAAGCGUAGAUUAGGCAGUAAAAGCCACUUGAGUCUACGAUUUCCGAAUGGGGAAACCCAGUGUCAUAAGACACUAUCCUUAACUGAAUACAUAGGUUAAGGAGGCGAACUCGGGGAACUGAAACAUCUAAGUACCCGAAGGAAAAGAAAUCAAUUGAGAUUCCGAAAGUAGCGGCGAGCGAAAUUGGAUUAGCCCUUAAGCUUUUAAUGACACAGGUGAAGAGUCUGGAAAGUCUCGCGAUACAGGGUGAUAGCCCCGUAACCGACAUGUCAUUUUAAGUGAAAACGAGUAAGGCGGGACACGUGAUAUCCUGUUUGAACAUGGGGGGACCAUCCUCCAAGGCUAAAUACUCCUGACUGACCGAUAGUGAACCAGUACCGUGAGGGAAAGGCGAAAAGAACCCCUGUGAGGGGAGUGAAAUAGAACCUGAAACCGUGUACGUACAAGCAGUAGGAGCAGGCUUGUCCUGUGACUGCGUACCUUUUGUAUAAUGGGUCAGCGACUUAUAUUCAGUGGCAAGGUUAACCGCAUAGGGGAGCCGUAGGGAAACCGAGUCUUAACUGGGCGCUUUAGUCUCUGGAUAUAGACCCGAAACCGAGUGAUCUAGCCAUGGGCAGGUUGAAGGUUGAGUAACAUCAACUGGAGGACCGAACCGACUAAUGUUGAAAAAUUAGCGGAUGACUUGUGGCUAGGGGUGAAAGGCCAAUCAAACU